rnacentral:rRNA from 1 species
CCUACGGGAGGCAGCAGUGAGGAAUAUUGGUCAAUGGGCGAGAGUCUGAACCAGCCAAGUAGCGUGAAGGAUGACGGCCCUAUGGGUGGUAAACUUCUUUUAUAAGGGAAUAAAAUGUGCGACGUGUGGGGUUUUGUAUGUAGCAUAUGAAUAAGGAUCGGCUAACUCCGUGCCAGCAGCCGCGGUAAUACGGAGGAUCCGAGCGUUAUCCGGAUUUAUUGGGUUUAAAGGGAGCGUAGGCGGACUGUUAAGUGAGUUGUGAAAGUUUGUGGCUCAACCGUAAAAUUGCAGUUGAAACUGGGAGUCUUGAGUAUAUUAGAGGUGGGCGGAAUUCGUGGUGUAGCGGUGAAAUGCUUAGAUAUCACGAAGAACCCCGAUUGCGAAGGCAGCCUACCGGAC